AUGGGCUCGGCUUCAGAUGGUAGCAGGGAGCACCUGCUGGACGUGGGCGGCCUCGCCGCCGGCGGGCCCAAGAUACGGGUGCGCGGGCUGCGGCGGCGGGCGGAGGCGAGCGGCGAGGAGAUCCUGCGCGGGGUGGACCUGGACGUGCCGCGCGGGGUGGUGAUGGGCGUCAUCGGCCCCAGCGGCAGCGGCAAGUCCACGCUGCUCCGCGCGCUCAACCGCCUCUGGGAGCCCGCCCCCGGCGCCGUCACCCUCGACGGCGCCGACAUCUGCGGCAUGGACGUCCUCGCGCUCCGCCGCAAGGUCGGCAUGCUCUUCCAGCUCCCCGCCAUGUUCGACGGGACCGUGGCAGACAACGUGCGGUACGGGCCACAGCUGCGCGGCAAGAAGCUCAGCGAGGCGGAGGUGAAGAGCCUGCUGAGCCUGUCGGACCUCGACCCGGCGCUGUCCUCCCGGCCGGCGUCGGAGCUGUCCGUCGGGCAGGCGCAGCGCGUGGCCCUGGCCCGCACCCUCGCCAACGACCCGGAGGUGCUGCUGCUGGACGAGCCGACGAGCGCGCUGGACCCGAUCUCGACGCAGAACAUCGAGGAGGCCAUCGUGCGGCUCAAGAUGGCGAGGGGGCUCACCACGGUGAUCGUCUCGCACAGCGUGAAGCAGAUCCAGCGGAUCGCCGACCUGGUGUGCCUCGUCGUCGACGGCGAGGUCGUGGAGGUGCUCGCGCCGUCCGCCCUCUCCGAGGCCAAGCACCCCAUGGCCCGGCGCUUCCUGGAGCUCAGCAGCUGA
rnacentral:rRNA from 1 species